rnacentral:misc_RNA from 1 species
UGUGGGAGCCAGCCUGCUGGCGAUAGCGGUAUGUCAGACACAUGAAUAUCGACUGAUGCACCGCCAUCGCCAGCAGGCUGGCUCCCACA